AUUGAACGCUGGCGGUAGGCCUAACACAUGCAAGUCGAGCGGAUGACGGGAGCUUGCUCCUUGAUUCAGCGGCGGACGGGUGAGUAAUGCCUAGGAAUCUGCCUGGUAGUGGGGGACAACGUUUCGAAAGGAACGCUAAUACCGCAUACGUCCUACGGGAGAAAGCAGGGGACCUUCGAGCCUUGCGCUAUCAGAUGAGCCUAGGUCGGAUUAGCUAGUUGGUGGGGUAAUGGCUCACCAAGGCGACGAUCCGUAACUGGUCUGAGAGGAUGAUCAGUCACACUGGAACUGAGACACUGUCCAGACUCCUACGGGAGGAAGCAGUGGGGAAUAUUGGACAAUGGGCGAAAGCCUGAUCCAGCCAUGCAGCGUGUGAAGAAGGUCUUCGGAUUGUAAAGCACUUUAAGUUGGGAGGAAGGGCAGUAAGCUAAUACCUUGCUGUUUUGACGUUACCGACAGAAUAAGCACCGGCUAACUCUGUGCCAGCCGCCGCCGUAAGAC
rnacentral:rRNA from 1 species